UUUUCUCCCCGAAUGGCCCGAAAAUGUUGACACUCUCUCUGUUCAUCAAUCAAACCACGAUCAGCCUUUUCUCUUCUUCUGUAUCUCUCUUUCUCAUUCCCAACAAUCAGUCUCUUUCUUCUCUCAACUCUUGAAAACCCCUCUCUCAUCUGGAGCUGUGAUUCAACUCGUUGAAACUCUCUCACUCAUUGCUCUCAGAACCAGAGCUGCGAUUUAACUCUUCAAAACUCUGGUCAGUGCUCAUUCUCUCAUCCCUCUCGUCUCUGUGUUGGGUAAAGAAAAACUCAGGUCAGUGAUCCCUCUGUCAUCUCUCUCGUCUCUGUGUUGGGUAAAGAAACUGGAGCCGAUUCACUCUUCAAAACCCUUUCGCUUAUCUCUCUCUCAUCCCACUCGUCUUUGUGUUGGGUGGACAAACUGAAGUUGACUCCUCUCAUACAAACUUGAUAUUGCAAAACUAGGGUUUUGCUUUGGCAUAAAUUCCUGUACAUAUUCAUAAAUUGUGACUGUUUGGAUACAUUUGGGAUACGCGAGGAUACUUUAGGGAUACGCUUGGAUACUUUCAGGAUACGGCGGGGCGAAAAAAUAAUUUAAAAAACUUAUAAUGGGGUCAAAUUGUAAAAUAACAAAAGUUAUGUAACAUAAAACAAAAAAAAAACAACCAACCAAGCCCUAGCAGCAGCAGCAAAGAAGGAGGAACAGCAGCAUCGUCUCUCUGGACAGUAGCGUCGUCGAUCAGGUUCGCGAACAGCAGCGUCGUCGUCGUCGAUCAGAGUAAUAAGGCACACUGCAAUUACUUCAAGUUCACAAAUGAUGAUGAUGAUGAGGAUGUUACCUCCACAUACUAUUCCAAUAUUGGAGCUCGUCAUGCUAUAACAACAGAAGAAUUUAACGAGCUAAGGGCAAUACUUUCUGAGAUGGAAAAUGAAAUUCAUGACCAUGGUUGAAGGCUUCAAAGGAUGGAGAAGAAAUUGAAGGCGAUGAUUUACGUUAUUGUGUUUUGUAUGAUUUUGUACUUGAUGAUGCAAAUUACUGGCUUGUUAGUUUUUGUUAGUUUUGGGGUAAUUUGAUGGCUUGUGGGGCUAUGUUGUCAUGAAAUGAAUGUGGGCAUAUCUUUGUAGGUGGAAACGAAUAUUUUGUUGAUGUGGUUGAUAUAAUAUGAUCUUCUUAGCUCAUUUUGUUUGGAAA